UCCUAUUCAUCUGUAAUUCUGUAUCGCAGGUAAAUGCCAUGCUUGAGUGCAGGAUAUAGUUAGCACGAUUCUUGGAUACACAGUUAUAUGAAUUUGGAUACUCUUUAGAGGUUAGUAAUUUCACCAACCUACCUUGUAUCUUAAUACCAGCCUCUCUACCUCACCUUUGAAGAAGUUGUAUAGACUGUGUACACUAGUUAUGUUUGUUGUUGUUGAAUUGUAUCCUUGUUUUGGUCUUCCUCCACUUCAACCCCCUGCUUCAUUAUGCUUGAUUUUAAAUAUGAAUACUUUGUUUGCAGUGACUCUUUGUACAUAACAGGUCAUACGAGCAUUAAAACUUUAUGCAAAUUCCUCAAAGUAGACUUAAUUUUAAGAAAAAGAAACUUGAUGACGAAUAUUUUCACACCCAUAUUGUAACAUAUAAAUUUAUUGAACAUAAAUUAAAAAUCUUUCAUAGCUGCACCCUAGCCUCUUGUUCCGGAAAUUAGGUGCCUAAUUUCAGUAUCUCACCAGUGACUUAUAUAGUUGUAUUUACAUAUUUUGAUCUAGUAACAUUAGGUGCCAAAAAUCAAGAGUAUUGUACAAUAUUAAUUAAUCAUUCUGUUUCUGAAAUUUACUAAUUUAAUGGAACUUUAAUAUCACUAUUUGUAGUUAUUUUAUUGUAGUAUUGUAUAGCAAUAAUGAUAUGACCUGCUUUACUUUUAUGCUAAAUAGUUGUUGUAUGUUUAAUUUAACGAGGCAUCUCUUAUUUCUUGACUCACUUAUCAAGUGGAGUAAGUAUUCAUCAUUAUAAAUACUACAAAGUUACCUUCUCCCUCCAAUGUGGGAGAAUUAGUGAACUGUCCAAUUUUGGGAGUACACUUUCCAAAUUGGUGUCUCCUCUUCUCCACCAUUUUUUCUCCAUUUUCUAUUCACACUUCUAUGAACCCAAUAUACUAUAAAUCAUGGAGAGCAUCUACUUAAGUUAGAUCAUUCCUGAGAUCUAAUUCUGUUCUUUUUUUUCUAGCAUCGAAAAUCUAGGAAAUACUACAAACUCGUUAUAUGGGAAGACGGCGGCACGAGGCAUCUCUUAUUUCUUGACUCACUUAUCAAGUGGAGUAAGUAUUCAUCAUUAUAAAUACUACAAAGUUACCUUCUCCCUCCAAUGUGGGAGAAUUAGUGAACUGUCCAAUUUUGGGAGUACACUUUCCAAAUUGGUGUCUCCUCUUCUCCACCAUUUUUUCUCCAUUUUCUAUUCACACUUCUAUGAACCCAACAAUCCCCCAUGUAAAUGGGAAAUAGAUAUUUUUCAUAAAACUUUUACGGACAAAUAUGUGAUCAUCAAGCAAAGAAUGAUUGCAUCUGGAUAAGUGGGUUUCCCUUUAAACUUUCCGUAGUGAACAUGCAUCGGAUGCACUCGGUCAAUUGGUAGAUUUGAUAUCUUUGAACCAUCGAGCUUUAAUGUACGCCUAGACAACAUAUGUCACAAAACCAGCCUUUUAACGUUUAUGGUUCUUAGGAUUUUAUUCUUUUCAGCCAUAAGCACGUCCCGGUUUUCAUAAGAGCUUAGAGAAUAGGCCUUUACUAACAUUCUCCUUGAAGCGGCUUCCACUUCGCCCUCACAUAGGUGAUUUCUAAAUGUUCAAUCAUAUAGAUUAAACUAUUUGGUCAAAUCUGUCAAAUUUAGAUAAUCAUUAAAAGACUUUUCACCUGAAGUCUUAUCCUUGUUUACUAAACAUUGUCUACAUCAUGAGAAUGGGUUGGGUAUUUGAUAAUGUUGAACCUGUCAGACACAACUUUGUUUGAUCUCCUUGAACCUAGCUCUUGGGAUCUCCAGUCUUCUAGGUAGAGUUACCGCUAUGCUGACUUGUCCUAGGCCUUAAACCCAUUCCCUUGGAUGUCCUUUCUACUCCUUCUCUAGAUAGGCCUUUUGUAAUUGGAUCCGACAGACUUUACAAAGUCUACAGUUAUAAUUCCACUAGAGAGAAGUUCCCUAAUGGUAUUGUAUCUUCAUUGUAUGUGACGAGAUUUACCGUUGUACGUCAUGCUCCCGGCCCUACCUAUUGCUGCUUGGCUAUCACAGUAUAUACAUACUGGUGCCACUGGCUUGGGCCAAUAAGGAAUAUCUUCUAAGAAAUUUCGGAGCCAUUCUGCUUCUUCACCGGCUUUAUCCAAUGCAAUAAAUUCAGAUUCCAUUGUAGAGCGAGCAAUACAAGUCUGUUUGGAUAAUUUCCAAGAGACUACUCCUCCACCUAUGGUAAAUACAUAUCCACUCAUGGAUUUUACUUCAUUUGAUACGGUCCAAUUUACAUCACUAUAUCCUUCAAGUACCACAGGAUAUUUAUUAUAAUGCAAGGCAUAAUUUUGAGUGUACUUAAGAUACCCCAAAACUCUUUUCAUUGCCAUCCAGUGAGUUUUGUUGGAAUUACUCGUGCACCGACUCAAUUUACUGAUAGUUCAUGCUAUGUUCGAUCAUGUACAGUUCAUUAUAUACAUUAAACAUCCCAAUACUCUUGCAUACUUUAAUUGCGAGUCACUUUCACCUUCAUUCUUUCAAAGUGCAAAGCUCGCAUCCAAUGGAGACUUGGCAAUACCGAAUUCCAUAUACUUGAACUUGUCAAGUACCUUUUUGAUAUAACGAGACUAUGACAAUGCCAACCCUUGUGGAGUUCGAUGGAUUCUUAUACCUAAGAUUACAUCUGCAACUCUAAGGUCUUUCAUAUCAAACUUACUCUCGAGCAUUCAUUUUGUUGCAUUUAUGUCAGAAAUGUCUCUACUGAUGAUCAACAUAUCAUCCAUAUAUAAACAAACAAUGACUUGGUGAUUUGGUGUAUCUUUAAUAUAUACAUAUUUUUCACAUUCAUUUAUCUUGAAUCCAUUUGCCAACAUAGUUUGGUCAAACUUUGCAUGUCAUUGCUUAGGUGUUUGCUUUAGUCCAUACAAUGACUUAAUAAGUAUACACACCUUAUUCUUCUUCCAUAGAACUACAAAACCCUCAGGUUGUUCCAUGUAAAUUUCUUUCUUCAAUUCUUUAUUUAGGAAAGAGGUUUUCACAUCUAUUUGAUAGAUUUCAAGACCAUAUACCACAGCUAAGGCAAUUAAUAUUCGAAUCGAUGUUAUCCUUGUUACUGGCGUGUAUGUAUCGAAGUAAUCAAGGCCUUCUUUUUGUUUGAAGCCUUUUACUACAAGUUUUGCCCUAUAUUUGUCAACAGUACCAUCCAUUUUCAUCUUUCAUUUGUAGAUCCAUUUAGAACCUAAAGGUUUAUUUCUGGGAGGAAGAUCAAUCAAUUCCCAUGUAUGGUUGCUUAAGAUUGAAUCAAUCUCACUAUUGACUGCCUCUUUUUGAAAGGAUGAGUACAAAUAUGACAUCACUUCCGUAAAUGUUUGAGGCUCAUUUUCUAAGAGAAAUGUUACAAAAUCCAAUCCAAAUGAAGUAGACGUUCUUUGAUAUAUACUACGUCUUGGAUUUUCAUUAUUAUGUACAUUCUCACUUGGUUCAUCUUGAGGUCGUUUAGAUCCUCCACUAGAUUGUUCAUGCCUAAUUUUAUAUGGGUAAAUGUUUUCAAAGAAUUCUAGAUUAUCUGAUACAAUUAUCGUAUUUUUAUUUAUAUCCGGAUGUUCGGAUUUAUGAAUCAAAAACUGACAUGCUUUACUACUUUUAGCAUAUCCUAUGAACACGCAGUCCAUCAUCUUAGGUCCUAUCUUAACCCUUUUAGGCACAGGAACUUGGACCUUUGCUAGACACCCCCACACUUUGAAAUAUUUCAAGUCAGGUUUUCUUCCUUUCCACUUUUCAUAGGAAAUUGAUUGUGUCUUACUGUAGGGAGCUCUAUUGAGUAUACGGUUGGCCGUAAGAAUAGCCUUCCCCCACAAGUUUUGCGGUAAACCAGAACUUAUAAGUAAGACAUUCAUUAUUUUCUUCAAAGUUCGGUUUUUCCUUUCUGCAAUUCCAUUAGAUUAAGGUGAAUAUGGGGCCAUAGUUAGAUGGAUGAUUCCAUUCUCUACACAUAUUUGUGCAAAGUGAGAUUCAUAUUCUCUGCCCCUAUCACUUCUUAUCAUUUUGAUCUUUUUGUCUAACUGAUUUUCAACUUCAGUUUUAUAUUAUCUAAAUGCAUCUAUUGCUUCAUCCUUACUAUUUAGCAAGUAGACAUAACAGUAUCUAGUGCAAUCAUCAAUAAAAGUUAUGAAAUACUUUUUCCCACCACAUGAUGGUGUUGACUUCAUAUCACAAAUGUUUGUGUGUAUUAAGUCUAAGGGAUUGGAAUUCCUUUCAAUGGAUUUACAAGAAUGCUUUGCAUACUUCGAUUCCACACACGUUUGGCACUUUGAUUUAUUCCACUCAAAGUUUGGCAAAACUUCUAAGUUAAUCAGUUUUCGUAAUGCUUUGUAAUUAACAUGGCCUCUACGUUCAUGCCAUAAAUCAUAAGACUCAAGCAAAUAGGAAGAAUUCAAACUUUUAUUUAUUUCAAUAGUUAUUACAUUCAUCUUAUAUAGGCCUUCGAUCAGAUAGCCUUUUCCUACAUACAUUUUUCCUUUGCUAAUUGCAAUUUUUCCAGAAACAGACACACAUUUGAAUCCGUUCUUGUCUAGAAAUGAAACAGAAAUUAAAUUUCUACGUAACUCCGAAACAUACAAGACAUUGUUAAGUGUCAAGACCUUUCUGGAAGUCAUCUUUAAGAAAUUUUUUCCUGUUCCUUCUACCUUAGCCGUAGCGAAGUUAGCCAUGUAGAUCAUUUCUUCUACUUGAGCUGGAGCGAAUGACGAAAACAACUCCUUAUUGGCACAUACAUGGUGAGUGGAACCAGAAUCCAUCCACCAUUAGCGAGGAUUCCCCGUCAAGUUGCAUUCUGAGAACAUAGCACACAGACCAUUGCAUUCUUUGUUGGAUUCGAUCAUAUUUGCUUGAUCCUUCUUCUUGCCUUUCUUUGGGGAACGACAAUCUGUGGACUUGUGGACAAUCUUGCCACAGUUGAAGCAUUUUCCCUUGAACUUUUUCUUAGGUUGAUUGCUUCCUUGUUCAGCUUUCUUUCUUUUCUUGGAAUUAUUUUGGUCAUAUUCUACAAUAUGUGCUCUAUUAAUUGUAGAAUUCCCCUUUGACCUUCUUUCGGCAGCUUUAUUAUGCUCUUCAAUAUGAAGUCGGAUAAUAAGAUCUUCAACAGUUAUCUCCUAGCGUUUAUGCUUUAAGUAGUUUUUGAAGUCUUUCCACAAAGGUGGUAACUUCUCAACUAUCGCUGCUACUUGGAAAACAUCAUUCACAAUUAAACCUUCUGCUAGGAGAUCAUGUAUGAUGACUUGCAACUCAUGUACUUGAGAGACAAUAGAUUUUCUAUCUAUCAUUUUGAAGUCCAAGAACCGUGAAACAAGGAAUUUCUUAAUUUCUGCAUCCUCCAUCUUAUAUUUUCUUUCAAGUGCCCCCCACAGUUCUUUUGAUGUCUUGGUUCCACUAUAACUAUUGUAGAGGUUGUCUUGGAGACCACUCAGAAUAUAAUUCCUACAAAGGAAGUCUGAAUAUUUCCAAGCUUCUACAAUAACGAAGCGGUCUUUGUCCGAGGUUCCCUCGGGCACCUCAGGAGCGUCUUCGCUAGUGAACCAUUGCAGACAUAAAGUGGUAAGGUAAAAGAAUAUCUUUUUCUACCACCGCUUGAAGUCAAUGCCCAAAAAUUUUACGGGAUUCUCCGCCGGUGCCAUUGUUCGCAGAGCAUUUGUGCUACUUGAUGUGAUAAUAUUAGUUGCCCCUACAGACGUUGUCGCAUCUUGCAUUUGACUAUCGCUUGUCAUUUUUCCUGUCAACACAAGAUAGAAAAAUUUAGUAUUUUCCAAAAUACUAUUUAUAAAGUUAAAUAACUUUUCAAUUUUUCUUCUUGUUUCUAGUUAAUGAUGAAGUUUUUAUAACUUCAAAUCAUCAACCGAGUGAACUUUAACUUGUGAUGAAGAUUUUAUGUCUUCUAAUAACUAUUUAAAUUCAAGCGGAGUAGAAAGCCUAAGCUUUAAUCUCCAAAAACAAGUUAUACAGAUUCUGUAAAAUUAUUCCUUAAGAUUGUUAUCUUCCUUCUAUGGAUACGUAGAAUCUGUAUAGUAGAAACAACAACUUCAACUAAAGUUCAAGUAUAUAAACAAGAACACAAUAAAAUAUAUCAAAUACCCUCAACACAAGAUCAAAAUAACCUUUCUAAGAGGUGUAUUUUAUUUUUCAGAAAAUAGAUGAAACAAAAAUGAAUAAGACCAAGUCGUCCGAAUUCACGGACUUUCCUUAAGGAAUAAUUCCCUUCACUGUACCCGAGGUUAUGGAAUCUUCCUCUCAGGAUAAAAUGGCCUUCAAUUCGACUAUAGCGGUACCUCAAAUAGGUGGAUUCUUCGAACGCACAAAACGUUUUGAUUGAUCACACAGAAUAUUUGUAAAGAAAAGAAGAGAGUUUUUAUUCUAAAAAUUUCAUAUCAAAACCUGUGAAGGAAAACAGGUUUAUAUAGCCUAGCAGAUGCCUCUUCAAAAAGGUGGCAUUGGUUCACUUAAAUGGUGUGAUGUUUCUGAAAAUGCAUGUCUGCAGUAUUGAUCAGAUUUCGUCAAAUAAAGUUUGUUCAAAAAGAUAGAUCUCAUCGAUCGAUCAUUUUCCAAAUCCAAAUCCGAAGCCGAGCGAGCGAUGACGACGACGGCGCGAGGCAUCUCUUAUUUCUUGCCUCACUUAUCAUAUGGAGUAAGUAUUAAUCAUUAUAAACACUCCAAAGUUCCAUUCUCCCACUAAUGUGGGAGAAUUAGUGAACUUUCCAAUUUUGGGAGUACACUUUCCAAAUUGGUGUCUACUCUUCUCCACCAUUUUUUCUCCAUUUUCCAUUCCACCAUUUUUUCUCCAUUUUCCAUUCACACUUCUAUGAACCCAACACAAUUAACAUGGAUUCAACACAUGCCACUUUUUUUGGUUUUAUGAAAAGGUGGCAAAAAGUGGAUAGUACUUUACACCUUAGAAUAGUUCUCUAGUUUUUCAUCUUUUAGAAUUUUUUCCUUAAUUAACUUUUUCAAUGUCAAGACUACCAACCACAAUGAUUACUUUUUUUUUUCUUCUGAGGUGGGUGAAUAUGGAAUGUUUAAACAAAACAUAUGAAGUAAACCCUAAUGUCAGAUAUGAAAAAGUCGAAAGUGGAUGGUUGCUUUGAACAAUUGUUUAUAAGAUGAGAUAUAAUGGCUUAUAAGACAACAACUUGAUGAGUAAACGAUAAUUAAUUGCAGUAACACAAAAAAAAAAAAACCAUUUUAGGGAUUUUGGCUGGCGUUCUACGUUUAGAGGAGCUAGGGGGUUCGAUCUCGUGAUAUCAAUAUUGAGUUAAAACUCUCCUCUCAAAUAGAGCGCGCUAAGCAAGUGGGAUUUGAUCUCGUGGCAUCAAGAUCGAGUUAAAACUCUCCUCACAAACACUGUGUGUUAUGCAAUUGGGAUUUGAUCCGGUGACAUCAACGUCCAGUUAAAACUAGCCUCUCAAGAAGUGCAUGUUCAACAAUUGGGAUUCGAUCCCAUGACAUCAUGACCGAGUUAAAACUUGCCUCUCAACCAGUGUGUCACUCCACCUUUUUUGAUGAUGAAUGCAUUUAGUCUUUAAAUAAUGCUAAAUAUAUUUUUAAAAUAUACAAACAAUAUAUUUAGUUUAGUCAGAUGACUAUAUUGAGUUUAGUCAUCUGACUAAACUCAAUGUAAGUGUGAAUGACGACUCACAUAAAUCCGUAGUCAUCUGACUAAACUCAAUAUAUUAUUUGUAUAUUUUAAAAAUAUAUUUAGAAUUAUUUAAAAACUAAAUGCAUUCAUCGUCGAAAGAGGUGGAGUUACGCACUGGUUGAAAGGCGAGUUUUAACUCGAUCUUAAUGUCACGAUAUCGAAUACUAAUUGCUCAACAUGCACUUCUUGAGAGGCAAGUUUUAACUCAAUGUUGAUUUCACAGGAUCAAUUCCCAAUUUCAUAACAUGAACUAUUUGAGAGGCGAGUUUUAACUCGAUCUUGAUGCCAUAGGAUCGAAUCCCACUUGCUCAACAUGCACUAUUUAAGAGGCGAGUUUGAACUCGGUCUUGAUAUCACAGGAUCGAACCCCCUAGCGUCCUCUAUACAUAUAACGCCAGCCAAAACACCUAAAAUGAUGAUUUUUUUUUAGUGAUACUAUAAUUAUUAUCGUUUGCUUAUCAAGUGACAACCUUAUAUCUCAUCAAGUUUAAAGUCGAUGGGUGCUUUGAACAAUUUUAGUAAAUGAACAUUUUUUGGAAGAGAGUACAUUUACUGUCGAAGCUAGACUAUGAUAAAUACAAGCUCUCACACCAUGUCAUCGGUGGGCACGGGGGGAGAAGGGUGUAAGUUUUCUCUUCCCAACAUUGAAACAUAAAUCUUUUAAAUGAAAUUUCAAUAUAGUGUUGGGUUGCACAUAAAGUAUCACAUUGAUAGUACAAGAGAAAAAAAGCAUAUGAGAUAUAUGAAUAUUUUAAAUAGUAUUAUAAAAUUCUUUCAUCUUCGGCAGAUCUUCCCUCAUACUAAAUCUUGCAUGGUCCAUCGUCUAUGAUUGGACGGCACUCGAACCUUGUACUGCAAUGCCCACCACUAUGAUUGAAAGGAUUAUCUGGAGAUGCAUUAUGUGCCACCCAUAUUGUGAAAGUAUUUUUAAGUUCACAUUACCUAUAUACUUAUCCUUUUAUGCUUAUCCAAC
rnacentral:lncRNA from 1 species